rnacentral:lncRNA from 1 species
AUCCCUCCUAACAGUCCUCAAGAAGAUAACAAAAACAAUACCAGCCAAGAAGAAGAUGACCAUCAAUGAGUUAAGGAUUGAAAACCAGUGAACACGGGCUCCUUCCAUCUUCAAAUAAGCAUCCCAUCGAGAAGGCCAUCUAGUAUUGCUUUUCUCAAAUUCAACCUCAUAAGUAAAUGAAACCCUUUCUUGCUGCCUUAUUAUUUGAGCCUUGUCAAGCUCUGAUGGACAACUUGUAGGUUCUAUACUGUCAUACAUAUGAUGCUUUUCCAUCUUAUCAGGAUCAUACUUAAUACUGCAGGGAAUAACCUCAAAACCAACAAUCUCAUACCCAGAGGCCUUCUUUUUAUCUGCCUCAGAAAUGACGCCCAUACCUUCUUCCCCAGUACCAAUUAUCUGCACACCAGCUCCUUCAUAUUCAUGAAUGAAAACCUUAAACUUGAGAUGAUUGAUGAUGUAAUCAUUUUCACUACCUAGUGGCGUGUAGCCAACUGGAAAUCCUGUCCACUGGAUUCUAACUCCAUUUUGGGUGGCAUAUCUCAGAGCAGGUAAAUUGUCCAGAAUAACAUUCACUUGAUAUAGAUCACGAGUUCUCUGUUUCAAAAGCUUGACCUCAUGCUCGCUCAGCGGGGGCGUAGUGCAGAGGUAAAGAGAUUCAUUAACGCUCAUCUUGAAACGGUAGGGAGAAUUAUCAAUCUGGUCUCCCAGAAGUAGUUCACCAAGAUUCUCGGCACUUUUCUUAAUUCCACCUUGAGGAGGGCAAUAAGGAAGACUAUAAUAGCUGAAAGGAAGCUCAGUCUCAAUUGAAGUCAAUGAAUUAACCUUGACAUAUAAUACUUCUCCAGUUGUAUAUGUAUGCAUGUAGGUACCCGGCAGAUAAAACCCAUUACAGAUAUUUGAUACCAGAACCAAGUAAACGAAAGCAGCCCAAUACUUCCUUUUAAAGAUCGAUGGCAAUGCCAUUGUUCAAUAAAAGGAAAAGGAAGUGGAAUCCUUCAAGUUGCACCUGUUCUAAUCCACAAUAAAUGGAUUAGAAAGCAUCAACCCCUACAUGCACAAAAACUUAUUUGAGUUAGCUUUUGCUGCCAUAUCUUCCAACUUCAGGAUUCAUCUGACUGACUUGCAAGGCAACCAGUUUGGCCAGAUUCUUCGAUGAACAGGUAAGCACAAUCAGGUUCAUCAAUUCAAAUUCUUCCAGCUCAAAGACCAAUCAACAAACUAAGUCUGCCUAAUGAAGCAAUAAAAGAAGAUGCUAAAGUUUCACAGUUAAAAAAAAAAUCAAUAAUUCCGUUUUUCUCAAUUAACCCUCUUCUUGUCCAAUAUACGCAGCUAAGAACUCGCCUGCUACCAUCGAUACAAAUCCACAUUUGCUUUGCAGCUCAACAGCUUCAGAUCUAUCUCUUAUCUGCAACAACACUACGCAGACAUGCAAAUAAAUGUACCUCCUAAUUGCUACCCUGCCUAUUGAUCAUCCAUCCACAUACCGCUACAACCAACUAAAGCUUUUCCAUUGAAAUAGUAGAAAAGUAAAAUUAACCACGUCGCCAGCCGCAUUAAUCCAGAUUUCAAUUUUUUUCAACAAGUUAAAUUUUACACACAGCUAUAGCUAACUAACACUAUGCAGGGCAGACAAAAAUCAGUCAUAAUCGAAUAAACAUGAUCACAAGAUCGAUAGACUGAAUCAGUCAAACUUCACAUACUCUGAUAAAUCGGAAACAAACUAAACAAACGUUCUAAAAUGUAAACUUGACAUAGAUCUAUCCAUUCAACCAAAACAAGAACUUCCAAGCUAACAAAAACACAAAUAGUUUUAUCUACCGAAGGUCAAGCCACAUCUUCCUAAAACGAACAACUGUAAAAAUUAUCCAUUGAAACAACAUUAAUUUUUAAAGGAGACAAAAUAAAUAGUACUAACGAACGACUGAGCAAAAAAACCUUGUCACAAAUCAAUCAGGAAUUAACACAGAUCUGAUACUCAAAUUUACAUGCAUACCAGUGGCGGAUCUGGAAAUGAGACGAGGAAGUUUGAGCGAGUUGAGCCGGAACGAGUGGCGAGUUGGAUCGGGAGUUAGGGUUAGCCAAGGGAAAUGGACUGGUAACUAAAUUGGAGCAAAAGAAGAAAGGAGUUGAGUCGGUACAUUGGGAUGGGCGUAGGCGUAUAUCUAUAUGUUGCGUCGAGUCGAUGAAAGGCUGGUGGUGGGUUUAGUAUUCUUUAGAUUUAGAUCUCAAUCGGGAAAUCCUUUUAGGCUCUUUUUUUUUUUUUUUAUAAGAAUUGCACCCUUGUGCUACAAACUAGAAAAAGAAAAAUGGUGCCGGUUAGAGCUAUUAAUAAACCGAGCAAUUCGGGAAUAUGUUCAUUUGAGUUUGAAAAAAAAGAUCAAUCAUUUAAAAAUGAAUAAGUACGAUUACAAUAUUAGACUCAUUUAAUAAUAGAGUUGAGCAUUAACAUAUUUGAGAACUAGUCGAAUAGUUAGUGAACACAUUUAUAAUUAUAAAAAUAAACGAACAUAAAUAUAAAUACAUUUACUAUUAUGAAAUAUAUAUUAUAUUUUACUAAAAAAUGUAAUUAGACAUAAAUUAGUAUUAUUUAUUUUUUUAAAACCAAGAAAAUAGAAUUACACCUAUUCUAAAUAAUAUAUUAUUUAUUAAAAAUAUAAUUAAAUCAUCUUUAAAUUCGACUUCGAAUUCAACUUUAGCUCAUUAAAUUACAAAUAAACUGAUGUUAGGAUGUUAAAUUGUGACGUCAAAUAAUCCUUUUUUUAUAAUGUUCUCAUUUGCUUUUUGCAUGUAGAUAUGAAAGUUUUUAGAUAUUAAAAAAAAAACUAAAUUCUAGAACUUACUCAAGAGUAGUUUUAAUUGAUUCUGAUUUUUAUUCUAUAUUCACUUCUGCAAAAUUUAAGAAUAUUUCGCGUAUUGUUCAAGUAGGGUAAAAAGGUACUUUACAAUUAAGGAACGUGAUCACAAACAACGUGAAAAAUUUUCUGCCGAAAACACAAUCCAAACAAGGCCUUGGGGACUUUCUGGCAUUUGGGGCUUAUUUGGGGUUUUAGCUCUUCACACUCGCACCAUCGCUUCUCUCCCCAAGUAUUUUAGUCUUUCUGCUACACUUUUCUCAUUCUCUUCCAUUUUGUCUUUCUGCUAAAGUCAGGUUUCUUACUCUCUCCUUUCUCGUCUCUCUCUCUCUCUCUCUCGCACACAACAUCCACUCACUCAAGCACGCCAGGCUCAUAAAAACAGAAUAACUAGUCCACUCAGGCUGUGUUGACCCUAAAUAAUUUAUAAGGCAAGCAUCAACUUUUCUGAUAUGUAUUCUUCCAUUUAAAUGAUUCUGUAUACGUGUAUUUGUAAUUCUGUUUCUCUUACCCUCCAUUAAAUGUAUAUAUGUCUACAAUAUGAUUUGCUCAUGAAUAUUCUGGCUUUGGAUUUGCAUUUGCUGAAACUAGCUCCAUGAAGUUUACAGCUUUUUUGUUUUAGGGAAUUAAGAAGCUGUGUUCUGUUAGUAUAAUGGCUCAAUUAGAAAUACUGAAGGCAAAUAUUUACUUUUUCUUUGUUUUAUUGUCUUAAAGAAAAAAAUGGACUUGUGGAUUGAGGGAUGAAAUGGAAGGGGGGAAGGGGGGGGGGCGCGGGGGAAGGUGUAGUUUUGGUUAUCUUAAUUUAGUUCUCCAUUUAGUAGAUUUGUAAGUCUCAUUUUUUUUAUUUAUCAAGGAAAAGAAAUGAGGAGGAAAUCAUAUGCCCAUUUUAUUUAUCCUUGUUUAUUUUUUCUAUUUGAAAACCAAAUACGCACUAAGCAGUUUGUUGUAUUGCUACAAGAUUCAGGUAGUGGUAAAGCGCAUUUUCUAUUGUAAUGGCUUUUGUUCGUGGUUUGAAACGUCCCAUUGAGAUCUUCUGUAAGAGGAGGAUGAAUACCCCUGUUCAUUCUGGACUUGGCUACUCUGCUAUGGCAUGUAAAGGGGCUUACUUUGCUGAUUUUAGAGAGAAUAAAUGCCCAUUUGGUUGUAAUUGUGCCAAUGCAUUUUGCAGUCACUGCAUUUCUGCUAGAAGAUACUCUACUGAAGUAUCUCCUUCAGAACAAAUGAAUCUUAUAAAGCAGUUGAGAGAAAGAACAAGUGCUCCCAUUAAAGAAGUCAAGUCAGCUUUGGUUGAUUCCAACUGGCAUAUUGGCAAGUUUAUCACAGAACUCUUCUUUUCAAUUUUCCUCUUGUUUGGUUUAGCUAGAAUUCUCCAUGUUCAUUGACAAAAGAUGGUGGAAAUAUGCAGAGUCUGCCCAAAAGGAACUGAGGAAAAGAGGGAUUGUUCUUGCAUCCAAAAAGGCUUCUCGAACUGCUGCCGAGGGUUUGCUGGCACUGGCACAGAAUGACAGGAAGGCUGCUGUGAUUGAACUUAAUUGUGAGACAGAUUUUGUUGCCAGGAAUGAAAUUUUUCAAUACUUGGUCAGUCUGAUAAGUCUACUAUUUUUCCUUUUAUUAAUUUAGGUGCCUUUUUUUCAUUAUUUUAUGUACAGUUUUGAAAAGCUUUUGAAAAUCUAAGUUGCAGAUAUUCCAGUUGUGAAACAGAUUUGUGAUUGUUCCCGAGCGAAAUAGAUGUUUUCAAGUUCUGACAAUUUUGGAACCUCUUUUUUAAGCUCCUACUAUCUUGCCCUGCUCUUGCUAGUCAUUAUAUUCUUCCCUAACUUGUGGUUUUCUGCAGGCCCUAUCUUUGGCAAAGGUAGCUUUGUUGGUCGAUGGUACAUGGCAGCCUUCUGGUGCUCUUCAUGUUGGACCUGAACUUUUUGAGGUGCUUAGUCUUUUCAGUUUGUAUUAUGCAGAGAACUAAAUUUAACUUUUGCUAUUUUGAACUUUUCAACUGCUCUUGGUUCCCCAACCAAGUUAAUCAUUUGAGAUUAUCAUUCAGGUUUAUAUGUUUCAUAAUUUUAAGGUGUAACACUAUGGGUAGUUCUAUAUUACUGAUUUAUCUUUACAAAUUUGAUAAUGUUAUGCAGCAUGAUAGCCUCAUUGACAGUACUAUUUUCCCCCAGUUACUAGAAGUUAACUACUUAUAUUACUUCUUCUGUACAAUUGUAGUAUAGAUUCUUUAUUUGUUAGUUGAUCUUUCUUUGAGAAGCUGAUGUUAUGUCUCGUGAUCCUAUCACUAAUUGAACUACUCCUUGGUUUGAAAUCCCAAUAUUGAUGCUGAAGUACAUGCUGAAACUCCACUUGGACUGGGGAAAGGUGAUAGUGAUGGUUCAAUUUUGUUGUGGCUGCAUGCUGUAAAAUCUUUGUAGCAGCGAUGAACUAGUUCAUUUAUGCUGUCAUGCAUCUUGAAAUCUAUUUCCUUCUAAAUCCUGUGUGUGGAACUUGUUUGUCUGUCUAAAUAGAAGUUGUCUGUCUAAAUAGAACUUGUUUGUGGAGCUUGUAAUCGAUUUAUGUACACAUGUUGCUCCACUAAGAAUUCAGAUUAUGCCAACUACCUUAUUUAUUUUGCAAUUUCUUCACAGGAGUUGAAGAUAAACUUUCACCAUCCCAAAUUAAGUGGAGAGAGAACUGUUCAAAAUGCAAUUACAGAGGUUGCUGCAAUGAUGGGAGAGAAUGUCAAGCUUAGAAGGGGUUUUGCAAUGUCUGCACCUUCAUAUGGCAUCCUGUCUACCUAUCUACAUACAAGCCCACAACCAGGUAGAGUUAGUUUCACGUUCACGACUUUAGUGUAUUGGAGAGAGAAGGGUAAUGGUUGUGCAUGAUAAUUGCAUCUUUGCUUAUCAUGUAUGUUUAUCUUUAAAAUAGUAGCAAGUUUCUGAGAGAUGUUCUGUUAUUUUCUUGGGCUGGCAUUUGUCUGGCAAAGAAAAUAGCGCCUAGAGCUAUAUCUUGAUGUUAACCAUUAAGCAGGUGUGGGCCGGAUUGCUGGGCUUUUGUCCCUUGAAGUGGAGGAUCAGAAUGCUUCAGUGGAUGCUCUUCAGCAUGUUGGAUCAGAACUAGCAAUGCAUGUGGUGGCAGCAAAGCCUUUGUUCUUAACAAAGGAUGAUGUAUCUACCGAAGCAAUGGAGAGUGAACGUGAGAUUCUCAAAUCUCAGGUACUCUUUAAUGCCAUUAAAACACCCCCUUUCGCUACUGAAAGAGAUCCAGAUAAAGCUAUAAAGGCAGCCCGGCUGCAUAAGUCACUUUUUAAUUUAUUUGUGUGAACUUCCUUUUAAUUUGUCGAUCCUUAUCACGUCCUUAACAAAUGGUAGAUUAUAUGAUUUAGAUCAUAUUUUUCCACUGUACCAGAGAGAGCCCAAAUGAUGGUUGAGAAUAGGGAUAUAAUCUGUGGUUAUGUUUGUCAAAUGGUAGAUCUUCUAUGUGCUAAUUUGAAAUAUAGCUUUCAUAACUCCAGAUUAAUUUAUUGAUCUAGUUAUCCAUUGUCUUCUUUAGGCAGAAAGUACAGGGAAGCCUCAGAUGGCUGUAGAGAAGAUGGUUGAAGGACGCCUACGCAAGUAUUUCGAGGAAGUAGUUCUAAUGGAACAAAAGUUCGUUGUCAAUGAUACUCUAAACGUAAAGGUAUAAGAGUGUCUUUCCUUUUAGGCUCCGAAUUUUCUUACUCUUUUCUCUCAACUUAUAAUCAAUCUACUGUCUUAGGUGGUCCUCGAGUUGUUUGUUAUAAGAUUAUAUUUCUAUCUUCUUAUACCUGUCAGGCUACUUUCUUGUCACAGGGUAGUCCAUGCUCCUGCCAAUAUUUAUUGUCAUUUCUCCGCAUCUUCAUUCUAUGAUCAUCAUCUUCUACUUUUCAUCUCGUAAUUGUCUUCUGAAUUUGAAAAUGUUAGUUACUAAAGUUUGUGAGAGGUUCUGCAAAACACCACAAGCCCUUUAUUGUGCUCGUAUCCAUCAGAGAACUUAAAGUUAUCUUUUCCAGUAAUCUUGAUGGUUUCUAGACAAUAGAAUUGUAAUCAAGCAUAUACCUAUGGGGCUAGGGAUUAAACUUCUCAUCUUGGUGGCGCUCAAGGUUGUGCAACAUUCAGUGUAUCCGAGAAUAGUCAUGGGUAGGAUUAUGUGCUUGGUGUUUUCUCAUGAUAAGCGACAAUAUGUUGUGCAACAAAAUUUCAACCACCUGAACCUAUGUAGUUGCGUAAAUUCUGCUAAUGUUAAGUGGUUUAGGUUCAUCAGUUUUUGCUAUGGCUUUAAAAUAGACAUGGAGACUCUGCAAUAACUUUUGCAUGUAGAAGCUAUAGCACUUCCUCAGCCCACAGUUGUAAUUUAGAUGUGUAGUUAAUACUUGGAUGUGGUGGUAUAUAUUUCAGCUUUAUUUCACUGAAAUGAAGCAGCUCCUGAAAUAACUUCUACCAUUUUAUACAUGCUCAUGCAGACUUUAUUGAAUAACCUGUCAAAGGAAGUGGGCUCACCUGUGAAGGUUGGAAGCUUUUUAAGAGUGGAAGUUGGAGAAGGCCUUCAAAGGUAAACGCUAUGAAGAUAUUUACCAACCUAUGUUAUAGUUAUUCUAUCUGCUGAUACUUUUGCUUUAAGUAAUAAUUUGUGUGGACUCUUCUAUGAGCCACGUUCUUGUACUAGUACUUGAGAGACCCCUUUUGUAAUGGUUUAAUGGAUUUUAGAGCACUGAGAAACGUUGUUAAACACUACAAGCUGUUUUAGUAAAGAAUGACAUUCCUCUUCCUUGUUUUGGGUUGCUUGUUGGAUAAACAGACUUUCUAGUUUCCCACAUGGCAAGGUAAUUGAUAUCCUUGUUGCUGUGGCUAGAUUGUUUGUGGGUUCAGAAUCAGGAUGAUACCUGUUUGAUCAUUUAUAGGAUUUUUUGUUGUGUGGAAAUUUAUCAAAUAUCAGUUAUUUCUCAGAAUGAGGUACUGUAAGAAUAAAUUAUAGUCUUUUUGAAAUUCAGAACAGCGGGUGAAAGGUUAAAACAUUAAUAGUGAGUGUUUGGAUCACUUAAGUUAAUAUUAUCUUGCUCAUAAGUAAUUAUUUCUUCCCUGAGGCUAUGGGAGUUGCAUUAAUAUUUCAAAACUUUGGAUAUGUUGCUUGUUCGUCCCAUCUCCUACCACCAAAGGAGCUAAAUAACAACUAGGGGAAACCAAAGCUAGUCUACUGGAGAAAGCAUUGCAUGCACAGUUAACCAAGCGUGCUGCGGAGAUUAUUUUGGCUUGUUCGAUGUUAUUAUGACCUUCAACAAGAAAAAAAGUUGUGUUAAUAGUUUUGAAGUCAAUGCAAGUUUCCAACAGCACUCAAGUAAUUAUCUAAUUAAUGUGUCUCAUAGCCCUAAUGCAAGAUUGUUGUUCCUAUGUGUUCUGAUAUGAAGGAUCAGUGAUACUAUUCGUGAACAAAGGAGUGAAAUCAUGAAAUUCCUGAUACUCAAUACUUCAUUAGAGUGCGAAUCUUAAAAGACAGGUCCAAAGAAGAGCGAACAUUUAUGGGGAGGGGCAUGUGAAUUGAGUUUCUUGACGGUUUCCCAUUUCAAUAUCUUUGUUGAAUUUGGUGUAUUGCCGUGAAUGUGCUUGUACUUUAUUUUUUCUCAUCUCUUUUUUGUCAGUGCUUUUGAUUUCCCCUUGUUUGUCCAAAAUUAAUCGAUGUUGUGCUGGUACCUGCACAACACUAUUGCUUGCUUUAUUAUUUGUAGUGAGUACUUCAUGUUAAUACUUGUAUUUUCUAAUUUCUCGUUGCUUGCAGGCUUGAAUCAUCCAACACUGGUGAACCGUUGGCUCAGGCUGCUUAGUUUGGCAAGUUGCUUUGCAGGCUUGAAUUAUCCAGUGCUACUGAAUUUUUGGCUCAGGGUGCUUAAUUGGGCAAUGUUGCGCAAUCUUAGGGAGCCACCAUUAACACAACGAGUAUAUAUUGAAUUGAGUUUUUGCUUUUCACCGGCUAGAUGAUCAAUUGUCUGUUCCUUUAUGUCUUUCAAUGUGGAAUUUUGUAAAAUUCCCUUAUUAGGAAUGGAAACUAAUUUUCAUUGCAUAUACUUCAGCAAGGAAAAGAGGCAUUGUAGCUUCAAAAUAAUCAGCAUGAACUUCUUGAUGUCCAACUGUAUGCUGUGUUGUCAUAUUCUCUGCAGUCAGUCAGAAUAUGGGAUAUAAAAGUAACAACUCUACAUACAAAUUAGGAUCCUCAAUACUGGUUAUUCUAUCCUAUUGAAAGCUGGAUUACCUCUUCUUUUUUUUGUUCUUUUAAAAUGGCUCUUCUUUUAUUUUUUAUAUUUUUUAUUUUAAGCUACUAUUAGCUUGGAUUUGCAGAUACGGUCUUAUUUAUUUGUUUAAUAAAUCAGAACUCGCCAUGUAAAUAAAACAUUUGGUUAUCAUUUUGCAGCAGUAUUGCUAUGCUAAAAAUUUCUGGAAAAAAAGUAUGUAAAGGAUUAUAUAUUGUUUGCUUCGGACUCCAGGAAAGAGAGAAGAUAUCAACCUUCCCAAUUCCCAUGCCCUGUGAUGCCUGUAGCGAAUGAAUGAAAAUUCCUCUUUUUUAAGGACUUGUAUGAGGUUUAUCGUGUGAUGGCCUGCACAUGCAUUUAGCUACUCUAAAACAGGCUUUCGAACCAAUUGAAGUUUCUCUGAGCUCAAUGGUUUGGUUUCCAGGCUUUCAACAUGUACUCGGUACAGAUUACAGAUGAUAUGCUAAGUAGUUUCUGCACAUGAAGUUACAACUCUGAUAAUAUAGUAGAAAAGGUUUUUUGGGGUUUUGUGGGGGGGGGGGGGGGGGGGGGAAUAGAGGAGAAAUGGGAGCAGAUGAGACUAGUGGAAUUUGAGAUUGGUCAGUACAUUGUUGUUCACGGGGUCAGACAAAUGAUCAAGAAGGUUUUGGUAUGGUCCUACUCCUGUGACGAGACCUUGAACGAAGUAACCCACUAUUGCCAACAUGGCCAAUCUUCCGUUCUUAAUCUCCUUCAGCUUUAAGUCCCUCAAGGAUUUCUCAUCUUUGCCGAGCCCAAGAGGGUUGAAGAGGGGGCCACCAGGGUAUGGAGGAUCACCGGAGCCUCCCAAGUAUUUCUCGAAACCUAAGAAGUACUGCUUGCCCAAACACCCUGGCUUACACCAGUCCUGGAAUCUCCUGUGCUCAGCGAAUCCCAUGAGUGCCAGCUCAAAGACAAAUAAGGUGUAGGGAUCUGCCCAGUAGUCAUAUGUACCAGCAGGAGGAAUCACUCCAGUCUUGAACCAAGGAAGAGCUGUUUCAGGUGGAAUGAGACCAGCUUUUCCGAGGAUCUCAGGUGCAAUUGCUCCCACUGCUCCCAACAUGGCAUAUCGUCCGUUAAUGACUUCUCCAUAUGCGAGCCAUCCUGGCUCAAUGAAGCCUCCAGGACCCUCGGGAUCUGAGAGUCCCAGCGGAUCAAAUCCGUAGUCUCCAGGAAGACUGCAAAAAGUCAAGAAUCCAUCAGCUAUUACGUCCACUUCUUUGUAUCUAGUUUUGUGCGUGUGUGUAGAAACUGCGCAGGCAAGCGCCUUAAAAAGGAGAUAUUGGGAUCGAGAACAUUAUUGAACCCCAUAAUCUGCUAGUGGUGAACUAUGUGUAUCAGAUUGCUCUGAAGCUUUAGUAUUCAAUACUGCUACAAUCCUUUGAUUCUUUACCUGCCAUCCAAGUAAGAAAGGCUCUGUUUGGAGGCAAACCACAGCUGUCUGUCUGCUCCUUGCUGAAAGAUAACAUAAAUUCAGUAAGCGUACAUGGAGGACUAAGAAAUUGAACUCCUCAUAAUGGUAUAUAUAGAAAAUGAAUGUGUACUCGUAUAAUAUGUCCUUAUUAUGACUAACGUUCUUUGUCAGGUUGAAUUAUAGACUGCUGAGGAUGACAUACAGCUGCAGAGAAUAAGGGGUUUUUGUGUUGGAGGGGUGUUGGAAGAGAGAUACGUACCUUAGCAGGGGGAGUAGCUUCAGCCCUUACAGCAAAGGACACCUUCCUUGGAGAUGAGUGGAGCGACCUUCCUCCUAGAAUCUGCCUAGCAGCCUCUGCUGAAGCAGUAAUAGAUGAAGAGGAGACCAAAGCUUGUGUUGCCAUUUUGAUGGUGGAAAUGGUGAUGGUCUGCAGCUUGGCUACUCUGAAUAAGAAUAGCCUCCAAAAUCAGACCUGAGUAUGAAUAAACAGAAGCCCUGGGAAGUAAGGUGCAAGCUAGACCACUGAGCUCCUUGUGGGCCUUGUGAAAUGCAUCGAAUUUGUGGUGGAGAUGAAGAAUGCUGAGUUUCCUGAUAGAAUUCGUAUCUUCAUACCAAAUAAAAAUGGCACAAGUGGCUUGGUUACUUGGAUAAGAGAUGCUAUUGGCUCGGGGGAAGUAAAAUCUAAGAUGCACCAUUGCCAUCUGGAAACUGCCUCCAACAUUUGAUGCCACGAGGCCAAUAACAACAGAACAGUGGAACUUGAUCUGAUGCCCAAAAAGUGUAUAUAUAUAUAUAUAUUUGUUUUGUUUUUUUAAAAAAAAAUUUAGUGUUAAUGAUGGCAAUUUUUAAAUCUGGUAAUUUUCCUGUUGAGAUGAAGAGCAUGGUAAGUAAAACACAGUAGAAAAUAGUAAGUAGUAUUUAAAUCAAUAAAGAAGUUGUUUUCCAUUUCCUCUCCUUUUCUUUUGACCUAUUUUUUUAUUUUUAAUAAAAUAAGUGUCCACCAAACACAGUGCAACCCGAAUUAACCAUCCGGGUAUGCUCAUAUCCGUCGAGAAAAAUACCGGUUUUCGUCCCCAAACUUUGGACACAAGACACAUUUCGUCCCUCAUCUUUCGGUCAUGACACAUCUGGUGUCUGAAUUAAGAAUUUUAGACCAAAUGUUAUCCUCAAACGGCAAUUUAUCCACCAUUUAACGAAACCGGUCACGUGAGAUUCACGUACCGUUAAAGCUUCUGUCCGAAAGAACCCAGGUGGAAAAGGACGUUGUCUCCACUUUCCUUGUCCAAAACCGAAUCUGAGCUCACUCUCUCUCUACAAGCUCACUUUCCCCUUUCCCUUGCCUUUCACUUUUCCCUUCCCUUGCCUUUCACUUUCCCUUUUCCUUUCACUUCAACGACUUCCUCUGCAAAUUUCCAAGCCUAAGCUCAAGCUCC